rnacentral:rRNA from 1 species
GACGAACGCUGGCGGCGUGCUUAACACAUGCAAGUCGAACGGAAAGGCCCUGCUUUUGUGGGGUGCUCGAGUGGCGAACGGGUGAGUAACACGUGAGUAACCUGCCCUUGACUUUGGGAUAACUUCAGGAAACUGGGGCUAAUACCGGAUAGGAGCUCCUGCUGCAUGGUGGGGGUUGGAAAGUUUCGGCGGUUGGGGAUGGACUCGCGGCUUAUCAGCUUGUUGGUGGGGUAGUGGCUUACCAAGGCUUUGACGGGUAGCCGGCCUGAGAGGGGGACCGGCCACAUUGGGACUGAGAUACGGCGCAGACUGCUACGGGAGGCAGCAGUGGGGAAUAUUGCACAAUGGGCGGAAGCCUGAUGCAGCAACGCCGCGUGCGGGAUGACGGCCUUCGGGUUGUAAACCGCUUUCGCCUGUGACGAAGCGUGAGUGACGGUAAUGGGUAAAGAAGCACCGGCUAACUACGUG